AUAUUAAUAAGCGGAGGAAAAGAAACUAACUAGGAUUCCCCCAGUAACGGCGAGUGAAGCGGGAUGAGCUCAAGCUAAAAUCUUGAUAAUAUCGAGGAAUGUAGCGUAAAUGAGUAGUUUACAAAGUAACAGCAGAGGUAAAGUCCCUUGGAAAAGGGCAGCAAAGAGGGUAAUACUCCCGUUUUGACUCUGUUGUUAUUUGAUGUUUACUCUCAGAAGAGUCGAGUUGUUUGGGAAUACAGCUCAAAGCAGGUGGUAAAUUCCAUCUAAAGCUAAAUAUAUGUAUGAGACCGAUAGCGCACAAGUA
rnacentral:rRNA from 1 species